rnacentral:rRNA from 1 species
AAUACCGGAUAUGACUGAUCAUCGCAUGGUGGUUGGUGGAAAGCUUUUUGUGGUUUUGGAUGGACUCGCGGCCUAUCAGCUUGUUGGUGAGGCAAUGGCUUACCAAGGCGACGACGGGUAGCCGGCCUGAGAGGGUGACCGGCCACACUGGGACUGAGACACGGCCCAGACUCCUACGGGAGGCAGCAGUGGGGAAUAUUGCACAAUGGGCGCAAGCCUGAUGCAGCGACGCCGCGUGAGGGAUGACGGCCUUCGGGUUGUAAACCUCUUUCAGUAGGGAAGAAGCGAAAGUGACGGUACCUGCAGAAGAAGCGCCGGCUAAUAACGUGCCAGCAGCCGCGGUAAUACGUAGGGCGCAAGCGUUAUCCGGAAUUAUUGGGCGUAAAGAGNUCGUAGGCGGUUUGUCGCNUCUNCCGUGAAAGUCCGGGGNUCAACUCCGGAUCUGCGGUGGGUACGGGCAGACUAGAGUGAUGUAGGGGAGACUGGAAUUCCUGGUGUAGCGGUGAAAUGCGCAGAUAUCAGGAGGAACACCGAUGGCGAAGGCAGGUCUCUGGGCAUUAACUGACGCUGAGGAGCGAAAGCAUGGGGAGCGAACAGGAUUAGAUACCCUGGUAGUCCAUNCCGUAAACGUUGGGCACUAGGUGUGGGGGACAUUCCACGUUUUCCGCGCCGUAGUUAACGCAUUAAGUNCCCCGCCUGGGGAGUACGGCCGC